rnacentral:rRNA from 1 species
GGCUAACUACGUGCCAGCAGCCGCGGUAAUACGUAGGUCCCGAGCGUUAUCCGGAUUUAUUGGGCGUAAAGCGAGCGCAGGCGGUUAGAUAAGUCUGAAGUUAAAGGCUGUGGCUUAACCAUAGUACGCUUUGGAAACUGUUUAACUUGAGUGCAAGAGGGGAGAGUGGAAUUCCAUGUGUAGCGGUGAAAUGCGUAGAUAUAUGGAGGAACACCGGUGGCGAAAGCGGCUCUCUGGCUUGUAACUGACGCUGAGGCUCGAAAGCGUGGGGAGCAAACAGGAUUAGAUACCCUAGUAGUC